UUUAAAUGUAAAAUUAAAAUAUCAAAUUAGUAUUAGUUAUGAUCUUGAAAAUUAAAGAUUUUGGCGGUAUUUUAGUCUAUUCAGAGGAACCUGUUCUGUAAUUGAUAGUCCACGAUAAAUUAUACUUAAUUUAAAAAUUUGUAUAUCGUCGUUAUUAAAGAUUUUAUAAGAAUUUAAAUUUUUAAGAUUUCAAAUAAUAAAAUAUAUCAGAUCAAGGUGCAGUAUAUAGUUGAGAAGAAAUGGGUUACAAUUAAUUUAUUAAUAUGGAUUUUUAUAUGAAAAUAUAUAAUAAAAGUGGAUUUGAUAGUAAUAAUAUUUAUAUUAAUAUUAUGAUUUUAGCUCUAAAAUGUGU
rnacentral:rRNA from 1 species